rnacentral:rRNA from 1 species
GACGAACGCUGGCGGCGCGCCUAACACAUGCAAGUCGAACGAGAGAGAGGGAGCUUGCUUCCUCAAUCGAGUGGCGAACGGGUGAGUAACGCGUGAGGAACCUGCCUCAAAGAGGGGGACAACAGUUGGAAACGACUGCUAAUACCGCAUAAGCCCACAGCUCGGCAUCGAGCAGAGGGAAAAGGAGCAAUCCGCUUUGAGAUGGCCUCGCGUCCGAUUAGCUAGUUGGUGAGGUAACGGCCCACCAAGGCAACGAUCGGUAGCCGGACUGAGAGGUUGAACGGCCACAUUGGGACUGAGACACGGCCCAGACUCCUACGGGAGGCAGCAGUGGGGAAUAUUGCACAAUGGGGGAAACCCUGAUGCAGCGACGCCGCGUGGAGGAAGAAGGUCUUCGGAUUGUAAACUCCUGUUGUUGAGGAAGAUAAUGACGGUACUCAACAAGGAAGUGACGGCUAACUACGUG